rnacentral:sRNA from 1 species
UCAUGGUUACACUCAUUAUUACUUCAUGAGUGCAGGUAACACCAGGCUUCUUAGAAUGAUGAAGAGGUCUAUCACAGCUGUUUUGCUAGAAGUUGUCUCUCUUGCCAAAGACACGAUUACAAGAACUUAAAGAUUUGAUAAUCUAAGUUUCUACUAUCUCAGCAAAGAUGGGACUCCCUCAACGACUACCUUGGGAACACAGCCCUGUCACUUGAACACCAAAAAGAACUCUCUUGACUUGAAUUCACAGACAUCUGCCUGCCUCUCCCUCCUGACUGCUAGAUUAAAGGUAUUUCAAUUACAGCAACACAAAGGGAGCCAGUACAACAGGAUGAUGGGUAACAGAAACUUGCACCACAUAGCUUUCAGGGUUCUGUCCGGUCCAUGACCAGCAUUCAAUAAAGACUUGCUGAUGAUGCAGAAGAGCAGGUUCAGCAGUUUUCACUGGUGAAAACCGCUGACUGUGAGAAGUGCUCUGUCCAUGCUGAGGAUGGGGACAGUCCAAGGGACCUCAUCAUUGGGCCAGAAUGGGUCUUCCACACUUAUGAACAAAAACUUCCCGUGACCUACUUUCCAUCUUGAAUCAAAAUAAAAAAGUCAUCUUGCACUCCGCAGCAUACUGUGAUAUAAAAUUCUCAGGUUUUCCGCCUACCUACACGGAGCACCACCUAAAACUCGACCAAACCUCACUACAAUUUGUGCAAUAACAUGAUGCCUC